rnacentral:tRNA from 2 species
AUUUAAGUAAUUUAAAAAAAAAUUUUGAUUUGUGGUAUCAAAAAUGUAAAGAUUUACCUUAGAUU